UGGGGAAUAUUGGACAAUGGGCGAAAGCCUGAUCCAGCAAUGCCGUGUGUGUGAAGAAGGCCUUAGGGUUGUAAAGCACUUUUAGUGGGGAAGAAAUAUUUAAGAUUAAUAACCUUGAGUCUUGACGUUACCCACAGAAAAAGCACUGGCUAACUCUGUGCCAGCAGCCGCGGUAAUACAGAGAGUGCGAGCGUUAAUCGGAAUUACUGGGCGUAAAGCGUACGUAGGUUGAGCUUUAAGUCAGAUGUGAAAUCCCCGGGCUUAACCUGGGAAUUGCAUUUGAUACUGGGGCUCUAGAGUAUAGUAGAGGGAAGUGGAAUUUCCGGUGUAGCGGUGAAGUGCGUAGAUAUCGGAAGGAACAUCAGUGGCGAAAGCGGCUUCCUGGACUAAUACUGACACUUAGGUACGAAAGCGUGGGGAGCAAACAGG
rnacentral:rRNA from 1 species